rnacentral:lncRNA from 1 species
AGAAGAAAUCGUUGAUGCGCUUGCUGCCAAGUUGGAGCGUUCUAGGUGUUUUCUUUCUUUGGAUUUUAAUUACUAAAUUUAUGUAUCGUUGCUUUGCGAGUAUGAGGAACUAAACCCCCCCUGGCUAGGGGGGGAUUCAAAACCAUGUUUAUGCUUGCUAUAUGAUUUGAUUACUUCCAGUUGCGUUUCAUAAGUUGUGAAUUUAAUUUGCUUAUCUACAAGAAUUAAAACUGAUUUGUGUAUGUUGGUUGAGAGUGCACGCUUAAUUUCAUGCAUAAGUUUGAUGUUAGGAUAUAAGGGGGUUUCACCUAAUCGUUAUGAACUCAUAUUCACAAGUAGUAAAGGUUGUUGAUCACAAUCGUGUUAAGUAAAUUCUGGCAUAAGUAUCAUGCGCUUUCAUACUCUAUGAUAUGAUUUAGAAUCUCUGGCCAGAGUAUGAAUGAGAUUUAGAAAAGUCGUUCCAAAUCACAUUCAAGGUAAUCAUAUAAGCACACGAAUCACAUUGGAUAGUAGACAUGAAUAAACUAUCAAACCAAACAAUGUGGUCAAGAGUAUUGUAUUAGAGAAAGACCGUAUUGCAUUUGUAAUCCUAAAUUGAAUAGGUUCUCUACCUCUUUUGAUUAGCUUGGGUAACCAUGAUAUGCUGCUAGGUGUCACUCUUGGUUUGUGGAAGCCCUAAACGUGUAUAAUCACUAAAGGGAGAAUUGAAAGUAAGUUUCAAUUCACAAUCGAUUUUAAAGAGUUUUAAUCGCCCAUUGCCUCGCUAAAAGGAACCUAAUGGAUUGUACACCGUGUAAGGUGGAGAUUGAAGAAACAAUGGAGAUGAGUAAGAAUAAUUAAAUGGUUUAAUUAUUUAUGGCAAGGAUUAAUUAAUAUGUUAAUUAAUCAAACGAAUAAAUUCGUUAAAGACCUCGGGAUAGUUUUGGACCUUAAGGCCCAAUGGGCUUCGAACGUCAAGCCCAUUGACUUAAGUUGUAUGACAAUUUAAUGAAUAAAGAUUCACAAAGGCCCAAAAGCCCAAAUCCCUUAUAUGGCCGGCCAUGUGUGUUGAAUUAGGGUUUUUGGUUCUUAAGUCAUUUAAAGAAGUGACUAUAUAAAGAACUUUAUAGCCUAAAAUUCAUUAAGGGUUCUUUUGGAGAAAAUUGGAGAGAACAUAUCUCUCCUUUUCUCUCUAGGAGGCCGGCCCCCUUGGAGG